rnacentral:rRNA from 1 species
AGAGUUUGAUCCUGGCUCAGGACGAACGGAGGCGGCGCGCUUAACACAUGCAAGUCGUGGGGGGGUGGUGGGCAACCAGUGCCUCACCGGCGAACGGGUGCGUAACACGUGAGCAACCUCCCGAUUUCUGGGGGAUAGCCGGCCCAACGGCCGGGUAAUACCGCAUACGCGGCUCGAGGGACCUCUCUUGAGUCGGAAACCUCCGGGGGAGAUCGCGGGGCUCGCGGCCUAUCAGCUAGUUGGCGAGGUAACGGCUCACCAAGGCGAUGACGGGUAGCUGGUCUGAGAGGAUGGCCAGCCACAUUGGGACUGAGAGACGGCCCAGACUCCUACGGGAGGCAGCAGUGGGGAAUCUUGCGCAAUGGCCGAAAGGCUGACGCAGCGACGCCGCGUGCGGGAGGACGCUCUUCGGGGUGUAAACCGCUGUUGCCCGGAACGAAACUCGGGAUGAUCCCGAUGACGUACCGGGAGAAGCCCGC